rnacentral:rRNA from 1 species
GAUGAACGCUGACAGAAUGCUUAACACAUCAGCAAUUGAUUGGUGGCGGACGGGUGAGUAACGCGUAAAGAACUUGCCUCCCAGGUAGGGACAACAUUUGGAAACGAAUGCUAAUACCUAAUACUGUGCGAGAGCUUUGCGGCCCAUUAGCUAGUUGGAGAGGUAACGGCUCACCAAGGCGAUGAUGGGUAGCCGGCCUGCGAGGGUGAUCGGCCACAAGGGGACUGAGACACGGCCCGUACUCAUACGGGAGGCAGCGGUGGGGAAUAUUGGACAAUGGACCAAAGUCUGAUCCAGCAAUUCUGUGUGCACGAUGAAGUUUUCGGAAUGUAAAGUGCUUUCAGUUGGGAAGCGGUACCGGAAUAGAAAGCCACGGCUAACUACGUGCCAGCAGCCGCGGUAAUUC